rnacentral:misc_RNA from 1 species
GAUGAAGAACGUAGUGAAAUGCGAUAAGUAAUGUGAAUUGCAGAAUUCAGUGAAUCAUCGAAUCUUUGAACGCAUCUUGCGCUCCUUGGUAUUCCGAGGAGCAUGCCUGUUUGAGUGUCAUCAAGUUCUCAAACUGCAUCCAUUUGAAGGGUGUGGAUUUGGAUUAUGGAGUUUGCAGGCUCUUUGAUUGAGGUCUGCUCCUCUGAAAUGUAUUAGUGGCGAUGUGGAAAAGCUACUGUGGGUGUGAUAAAUAUCUAUGCCUUAUGCAGUGUUCUGCUAUGCCGCUUGCAGGGAGAAAUUUCAUUUUUGACAAACUUGACCUCAAAUCAGGUAGGACUACCCGCUGAACUUAAGCAUAUCAAUAAGCGGAGGA